CGGGGCGGGGCCGGCGUCCGCCUACUCUAGUCGCGUCCACAUGGCGUUUACGACGGUCUGGGAAGCCUGACGCCGUGACCUCCCGACGCCGCGAGACUCCAGGAAUGACCAUAAUAAUUUCCUACUAGUAUGAAGGAGUUGAGGCAUACUUUUUUUUUUUUAAGCAUAUUCUAGUUUCUAUCUGUAACUCUCGUUUCUAGCUCUAACUGCCACCGCGAUGCCAAAGGCGCCCAAGCAGCAGCCGCCGGAGCCCGAGUGGAUCGGGGACGGAGAGAACACGAGCCCAUCAGCCUGGAAGAACCUUAAGCUUUGUCAUUCCCCAUCACUAGUGUGUAUGAACUAAAGAAUGAGCUGACUCCACCAGGUGAGAACAGCUUCAUCUGUACCUCCAGAGAUGACUAGAACACAGGGAUUAAAGAAAAUGCUGGUUUCCACUGCAUUUAUUACUAAUAUAAAAAAAUGUUAAAAAAAAAAACAAAAACACCUCAUUCUCAGUUCUCCAACAACUCUCAUCCCUCCCU
rnacentral:lncRNA from 1 species